UUUAAUAUGGCAGAAUAGUGCAAUAAAUUUAAGAUUUAUAAAUAAAAAUUAAUAUAUUUUUUAUUAAAA
rnacentral:tRNA from 1 species